rnacentral:rRNA from 1 species
GUACCGUGAGGGAAAGGUGAAAAGAACCCCGGGAGGGGAGUGAAAAGAACAUGAAACCAUAAACUUACAACCAGUAGGAGGACGACUAAAACGUCUGACUGCGUGCCUGUUGAAGAAUGAGCCGGCGACUUAUAGGUAGUGGCAGGUUAAAGCAGAGAAUGCUGAAGCCAUAGUGAAAGCGAGCCUGAAUAGGGCAUAUGUCACUGGUUAUAGACCCGAACCCGGAUGAUCUAACCAUGGUCAGGUUGAAGCUUAGGUAAUACUAAGUGGAGGACCGAACCGACUGAUGUUGAAAAAUCAGCGGAUGAACUGUGGUUAGGGGUGAAAUGCCAAUCGAAUUCGGAGCUAGCUGGUUCUCCCCGAAAUGCGUUUUGGCGCAGCGAUAAAUGUUAUAACUUAGGGGUAAAGCACUGUUACGUAUGCGGGCUGGUAAUUCGGUACCAAAUCGUUGCAAACUAAGAAUACUAAGUGGAAAGUUUAUCAGUGAGACUGUGGGGGAUAAGCUCCAUUGUCGAGAGGGAAACAGCCCAGACCGUCAGCUAAGGUCCCAAAGUUAUUGCUAAGUGGGAAACGAUGUGGGAAGGCAUAGACAGCUAGGAGGUUGGCUUAG